rnacentral:tRNA from 1 species
AGCAGCGUGGCUCAGUGGAAGGAGCACGGGCUGGGGACUCAGAGGUCAUGGGUUCAAAUCCCAGCUCUGCCG